rnacentral:rRNA from 1 species
UAGCGUAGGGCGCAAGCGUUGUCCGGAAUUAUUGGGGCGUAAAGGAGCGUGUAGGCGGUCCGGUAAGUCGGCUGUGAAAGUCCAGGGCUCAACCCUGGAAUGCCGGUGGAUACUGUCGGGCUCGAAGUCCGGAAGAGGCGAGUGGAAUUCCUGGUGGUAGCGGUGAAAUGCGGCAGAUAUCAAGGAGGAACACCAAUGGCGAAGGCAGCUCG